rnacentral:rRNA from 1 species
GGGGCAGCGCGGGUAGCAAUACCUGGCGGCGACCGGCGCAAGGGUGCGUAACGCGUGAGCAAUCUGCCCGUGUCAGGGGGAUAAGCGAUGGAAACGUCGUCUAAUACCGCAUAACAACGGUCACGGCAUCAUGACCGUUUGAAAGAUACGUCGGACACGGAUGAGCUCGCGAGACAUUAGCUGGUUGGCGGGGUAACGGCCCACCAAGGCUGCGAUGUCUAGGGGAACUGAGAGGUUGGUCCCCCACACUGGAACUGAGACACGGUCCAGACUCCUACGGGAGGCAGCAGUGAGGAAUAUUGGACAAUGGUCGGAAGACUGAUCCAGCCAUGCCGCGUGGAGGUUAAGGUCCUAUGGAUUGUAAACUCCUUUUGAGAGGGAGCAAUAAGUGUCACGCGUGACACGAUGAGAGUACCUUUCGAAUAAGCAUCGGCUAACUCCGUGCCAGCAGCCGCGGUAAUACGGAGGAUGCGAGCGUUAUCCGGAUUUAUUGGGUUUAAAGGGUGCGUAGGCGGUUUUGCAAGUCAGCGGUGAAACGCACGGGCUUAACCUGUGACCUGCCGUUGAAACUGCGGGACUGGAAUGCGGAUGCUGUGGGAGGAAUGUGUGGUGUAGCGGUGAAAUGCAUAGAUAUCACACAGAACACCGAUUGCGAAGGCAUCUCACAAAUCCGUGAUUGACGCUGAGGCACGAAAGUGUGGGGAUCAAACAGGAUUAGAUACCCUGGUAGUCCACACUGUAAACGAUGAUAACUCGC